rnacentral:rRNA from 1 species
AGCGUCAUAGAGGGUGAGAAUCCCGUCUUUGACACGGACGACCAAGUGCUAUGUGAUGCGCUCUCGACGAGUCGAGUUGUUUGGGAAUGCAGCUCAAAACGGGUGGUAAAUUCCAUCUAAAGCUAAAUACAGGCGAGAGACCGAUAGCGAACAAGUACCGUGAGGGAAAGAUGAAAAGAACUUUGGAAAGAGAGUUAAACAGUACGUGAAAUUGCUGAAAGGGAAACGCUUGAUGUCAGUCGCGUCGGCCGGGGAUCAACCUUGCUUCUCGCUGGGUGUACUUCCCGGUCGACGGGUCAGCAUCGGUUUCGGUCGCCGUACAAUGGCGAGGGGAAUGUGGCACCCUUYGGGGUGUGUUAUAGCCUUUCGUCGUAUGCGGUGGUCGGGACCGAGGAACUCGGCACGGCUUCGGUCUGUGCUUAGGAUGCUGGCAUAAUGGCCUUAAGCGACCCGUCUUGAAACACGGACCAAGGAGUCUAACAUGCCUGCGAGUGUUUGGGUGGCAAACCCAAGCGCGAAAUGAAAGUGAAAGUCGAGACCUCUGUCGUGGAGGGCAUCGACGCCCGGACCUGAGUCUUUGACGACGGAUCUGCGGUAGAGCAUGUAUGUUGGGACCCGAAAGAUGGUGAACUAUGCCUGAAUAGGGUGAAGCCAGAGGAAACUCUG